AUGUUAUAAUGGACUACAAAUAAUGAUAGAGGGAUUGAUCGGACUAGUGCAUUCUACUAAAGCCUCUUCAAGAACUAGAGAAGAUGGCCAAUAUUAUUCUUCAAGCUCUGAAAAUUACUGGACAAAGAGGCAUUAUCAACAAAGGCUGGGGUUGGUAAUUCAGUACAAUCAAAUGAUUCUGUGUACUUAGUGGACAAUUGCCCCCAUGAUGACUCUUCCUCGGAUGCUCUGUUGUGGUCAGGAACGUUACCAUGGCCUGGCUCCCAUGUAUUACCGCGGUGCAGCUGCAGCUGUUAAUUGGUCUAUGAUAUCACAAGCAUGAUUGAUAUUGGUUCCUCCUGCAGACUGUGAAACAGAUAAACCCUAAAUCAUUAUGUCCCAAUAGGGGAGACGCAAACCCCUAUCUCCUUCUCCGGGCGUAUGCGGUUCCACGCCAGUUUUCAUAAGCCAAACCACAGUGAAAACCUGCUCUAGUAUAUCACUCCUGACGGCUGGUUCGCUCUCUCCGGCUCCAAUGAUGGUGAGCUUCGUCUCCUAAAGAUGGAAGCUUUCACCGAAUCUUGGGUUUCUUCUUCAAUCCAAGAAAAACCCAAAGGAGGAGGUAUCGGUAUCGACAGUAGCGAUGGUGUGGCAAAGGGAAAACUGGUGGAAAGGAAGGCUUUAUUGGCAAGUAUGGAAAAUCACUCAUAUAUAUUUGACUACAACACGUCAAAUUUGUUGUUCUCCACAGAGCCUACUGCCCUCCAUGUCUCAACAAGCUUCUCUUCACCACCAAGAAUCCAUUCUCGUUUGCUUUCGACUCCUUGUUCAUUCUGUGCACUUCUCUAGCUCUGGCUUUGUCCCUGUUCGUCGCCCAUGUUGACUCGGCCUCUGCUUUAGGCUAGGUUGAAUUGUUCUAGUGAUGCCGAUUGAAAUUACUCGUGAAUACAUAUUUGAGAUGAGUUUAGAUUAUGCAGUUUUGAUAUGGGCUUGGAUUAUGCUAAGGGAAUCAGUGGAAUUAGGAGUAUAGAUGGAUAUGGGAUUGAGCAAAAUGAAGCUGAAAGGGUAUUGCAUUUGGCACCAAUAGGAAACUCUUGGGUUCUUCAGCUAAGGAAGUCAAAAGAACUAGUGGAGUCACUGAAAGCACAGCUUGUGCCCUAUCAAAGUGGAAGAAGGGAAGGCUUCUUGGAAGGGGGACUUUUGGUCAUGUUUAUGUCAGAUUUAACAUGGGUCGUAAUUCAUGGUGUCCUACUUUUCAUAACAUUGAUUGGAAAGAUAUUUGUGAACCUUGGUUCAGUGGGGGGUGAUCUAGCUUUACGCAGAGAAGGUCAUCUUGAUAAGGUUUCACAUACUACUGCUGGAAGUUAAUUUCUGUGUUGAAGCAAAGGGUGACAAGUUGUUGGCAUCUCAAAAUGCACAGCCGUCAUAGUGGUGGCAGCUAUGUGGCUUAUGCUCGAGCGAACUCAAGACUCCCACCUGAUCAGUAGUACACCUGGUGUGGAAAGAAAGAAGGUGGGCUGGAACAACUUUCUCAAGGAAUCUGAAAAUUUUCUCAUAUGAUGUUCAUGUUGUAUCUCCUCGGAAUUAUUUUGCAUUCGCCUCUUUACUACCUAGUGUUACCUGUGGAACUGCGGAGCCUUGGAGCAUUGUUGAACCAAUUCAUAACAUAGAAAGAUGACUAACUCAGGGCUUUCAAAUCCUUCAAGAUGUUCUGCAAGCAACGUAGACGCAGUUGGAAAGAGAACCAUCUUUAGAAGAUAUCGGAGUAUACAAGAUUUACC